GACGUAGGGCGCGAGCGUUGUCCGGAUUUAUUGGGCGUAAAGAGCUCGUAGGCGGCUUGUCGCGUCGUCCGUGAAAACCCACAGCUCAACUGUGGGCUUGCGGUCGAUACGGGCAGGCUAGAGUUCGGUAGGGGAGACUGGAAUUCCUGGUGUAGCGGUGAAAUGCGCAGAUAUCAGGAGGAACACCGGUGGCGAAGGCGGUUCUCUGGGCCUGUACUGACGCUGAGGAACGAAAGCGUGGGGAGCGAACAGG
rnacentral:rRNA from 1 species